GACCUCGUGCUUUAAGAUGAGCCUAUGUCGGAUUAGCUUGUUGGUGGGGUAAUGGCCUACCAAGGCGACGAUCCGUAGCUGGUCUGAGAGGACGAUCAGCCACACUGGGACUGAGACACGGCCCAGACUCCUACGGGAGGCAGCAGUGGGGAAUCUUGGACAAUGGGGGAAACCCUGAUCCAGCAAUGCCGCGUGUGUGAAGAAGGCCUUCGGGUUGUAAAGCACUUUCAGUAGAGAAGAAAUUCUCAAGGGUAAUAUCCUUGGGCGUUGACGUUACCUACAGAAGAAGCACUGGCUAACUCUGUGCCAGCAGCCGCGGUAAUACAGAGAGUGCGAGCGUUAAUCGGAAUCACUGGGCGUAAAGCGCGCGUAGGUGGAUAUUUAAGUCGGAUGUGAAAGCCCUAGGCUUAACCUGGGAAUUGCACCCGAUACUGGAUAUCUCGAGUAUGGUAGAGGGAAGUGGAAUUUCCGGUGUAGCGGUGAAAUGCGUAGAUAUCGGAAAGAACACCAGUGGCGAAGGCGGCUUCCUGGAUCAAUACUGACACUGAGGCGCGAAAGCGUGGGGAGCAAACAGGAUUAGAGACCCUGGUAGUCCACGCCGUCAACGAUGAGAACUAGCUGUUGGGAAGUUUACUUUCUAGUAGCGAAGCUAACGCGUUAAGUUCUCCGCCUGGGGAGUACGGCCGCAAGGUUAAAACUCAAAGAAAUUGACGGGGGCCCGCACAAGCGGUGGAGCAUGUGGUUUAAUUCGAUGCAACGCGAAAAACCUUACCUACCCUUGACAUCCUCGGAACUUGUCAGAAAUGACUUGGUGCCUUCGGGAACCGAGUGACAGGUGCUGCAUGGCUGUCGUCAGCUCGUGUCGUGAGAUGUUGGGUUAAGUCCCGUAACGAGCGCAACCCUCGUCCUUAGUUGCCAGCGGUUCGGCCGGGAACUCUAAGGAGACUGCCGGUGAUAAACCGGAGGAAGGUGGGGAUGAUGUCAAGUCAUCAUGGCCCUUACGGGUAGGGCUACACACGUGCUACAAUGGGCAGUACAAAGGGUUGCCAAACCGUGAGGUGGAGGUAAUCCCAGAAAACUGCUCGUAGUCCGGAUUGAAGUCUGCAACUCGACUUCAUGAAGUUGGAAUCGCUAGUAAUCGCGAAUCAGAAUGUCGCGGUGAAUACGUUCUCGGGCCUUGUACACACCGCCCGUCACACCAUGGGAGUG
rnacentral:rRNA from 1 species